UACAGAGGUGGCAAGCGUUGUUCGGAAUUACUGGGCGUAAAGGGCGAGUAGGUGGCCAUCUAAGUCAGACGUGAAAUCCCCCGGCUUAACCUGGGAACUGCGUCUGAUACUGGACGGCUUGAGUAUGGGAGAGGAACGUAGAAUUCCAGGUGUAGCGGUGAAAUGCGUAGAUAUCUGGAGGAAUACCGGUGGCGAAGGCGGCGUUCUGGACCAUAACUGACACUGAUCCGCGAAAGCUAGGGGAGCAAAC
rnacentral:rRNA from 1 species